UGAAGAGUUCUGCGCGGGAAAGUGACCCUGAAUUACUAGAAACUAAUCUUGUCCAUGAGCAACCGUAAUAAACAUUUAAAAAGUCUUCACCUCCAUGGAGUAUUUCGUGAUCGUAUAGAAAUGAUACUUUCGGCACAGACCUUUGUGGGGCAAGUUUUGGUGAUCCUUGUAUUUGUAC